rnacentral:rRNA from 1 species
GCGACCUUCCUGCCGGGGACGGGCUCCAAGGCUUCACUGUCUGGGACUCGGAGUCGGCGAGGUUACUUUGAGUAAAUUAGAGUGUUCAAAGCAGGCCUACGCUCUGAAUACAUUAGCAUGGAAUAACACGAUAGGACUCUGGCCUAUCUGUUGGUCUGUGGGACCGGAGUAAUGAUUAAGAGGGGUAGUCGGGGGCAUUCGUAUUCCGUUGUCAGAGGUGAAAUUCUUGGAUUUACGGAAGACGAACAACUGCGAAAGCUUUUGCCAAGGAUACUUUCAUUGAUCAAGAACGAAAGUUGGGGGUCGAAGACGAUUAGAUACCGUCGUAGUCUCAACCAUAAACGAUGCCGAUAGGGAUUGGCAGAUGUUCCCUUUGAUGGCUCUGCCAGCACCUUAAGGAGAAAUCAAAGUUUUUGGGGUUCCGGGGGGGGAGUAUGGUCGCAAGGCUUGAAACUAAAAGGAAUUUGACGGAAGGGCACCACCCAGGCGGGGGAGCUUGCGGCUCAAAUUUGGACUCAACACGGGGGAAACUUAACAAGGCCCGGCAUAAGUUAGGAUUGACAGAAUUGAUAAGCUCUUUUCUUGAUUCUAUGGGUGGGGGGGCAUGGCCGGUCCUUAAGUUGGUGGGAGUGAUUUGGCUGGGUUAAUUCCGGUAACGAACGA